AGCGAACGCUGGCGGCAGGCUUAACACAUGCAAGUCGAGCGGGCACUUUCGGGUGUCAGCGGCGGACGGGUGAGUAACGCGUGGGAACGUGCCCUCUGGUUCGGAAUAACUCAGGGAAACUUGAGCUAAUACCGGAUACGCCCUUUUGGGGAAGGCUUGCUGCCGGAGGAUCGGCCCGCGUCUGAUUGGCUAGUUGGUGAGGUAACGGCUCACCAAGGCGACGAUCAGUAGCUGGUCUGAGAGGAUGAUCAGCCACACUGGGACUGAGACACGGCCCAGACUCCUACGGGAGGCAGCAGUGGGGAAUAUUGGACAAUGGGCGCAAGCCUGAUCCAGCCAUGCCGCGUGAGUGAUGAAGGCCUUAGGGUUGUAAAGCUCUUUUAUCCGGGACGAUAAUGACGGUACCGGAGGAAUAAGCCCCGGCUAACUUCGUG
rnacentral:rRNA from 1 species